rnacentral:rRNA from 1 species
AUUGAACGCUGGCGGCAUGCUUUACACAUGCAAGUCGAACGGCAGCGGGGAGGAGCUUGCUUCUCUGCCGGCGAGUGGCGAACGGGUGAGUAAUACAUCGGAACGUGUCGAGAAGAGGGGGAUAACCACCCGAAAGGGUGGCUAAUACCGCAUAAAUUCUGAGGAAGAAAGCUGGGGACCUAGGAAUAGGCCUAGCGCUUUUUGAGCGGCCGAUGUCGGAUUAGCUAGUUGAUGAGGUAAAGGCUCACCAAGGCGAAGAUCUGUAGCGGGUCUGAGAGGAUGAUCCGCCACACUGGGACUGAGACACGGCCCAGACUCCUACGGGAGGCAGCAGUGGGGAAUUUUGGACAAUGGGGGCAACCCUGAUCCAGCCAUGCCGCGUGUAUGAAGAAGGCCUUAGGGUUGUAAAGUACUUUUGUUAGGGAAGAAAAGUCAGCUGUGAAUAAUGGCUGAUACUGACGGUACCUAAAGAAUAAGCACCGGCUAACUACGUG